CAGCCCUCACCGGGUUCGGUAAAUGCCCUGGGUCCCCAAAACACACAUGAGAACUCUGAACCGGGCUUUCAGCAAAAAACAACUUUCAGAAACCUGGAGGAGAAAAAAGCUUUGAAGUCAGUCUACCCCAGUGAGAGGCAGGUCGGUGGCAAAUUGAUCUAAAGCAGUCAUGAAAACACAUUUGUAGAGACAGGGUCUUGCUAUAAUGCCCAGACUGGUCUCAGACUCCUGGGCUCAAGUGAUCCGCUGCCUUGGCCUCCCAGAGUACUGGGAUUACAGGCAUGAGCCACCACACACAGCCCCAUGGCACUACCUUAAAUGAGCUUGUAGCGGGCUUGCAUGGUAGAAGGUAUUUCAGGACUGAGAAUAGAACCCGUAGAGUACACAGGAAAAUACGCUUUCUCCCUGGGGCCUUGGCCUGAAGCAUCCUCCUCCCCCCUCCCCACUAUUUUAUCGCCCUGUAGCCCUGAAAGUUACCACAUCGUUAUUUUAUGUCGUUUGCAUUUUUAAAAAAUCUGGGCAUUUCUCCAUCAGCUGGGAAGGACACUGGUGUUGAGGUUGAUGUCCCUAUCAAGGACGAUAACCGCCAAAGCUUCCAGUGCUUUGACAAAACCUCAGAUGCGUGGCCUUCUGGCCAACGUCUGCAAUUUCCCGUACUGAGCAUUCACUGUCUCUCUGGGGGCUGCAGCUCUCUGUAAGUCUGCUGUGGCUGAACCAAGAAAGAGUCAUUCGCAGAUUUCUACAGCAAUUAGGAUUCCGUGAAGGAUUUUGAGGAGAUGAGGAAGGCUGGUAUCUUUCAGAGUGCAAGGUGAUUUUGGAAUAUAGAUAAUCUUCUUGGGUUGACCUAAAAGUUUGUCGCUGACCUAUGUUCCUGAACUAUGAAACAUGAAUAUGUGA
rnacentral:lncRNA from 10 species